GACGAACCGUGCGAACGUUAUUCGGAAUCACUGGGCUUAAAGGGCGCGUAGGCGGCUUUGCAAGUCCGGGGUGAAAGCCCCCAGCUCAACUGGGGAAGUGCCUCGGAUACUGCGGAGCUCGAGGGAGGUAGGGGCGGAUGGAACUUCCGGUGGAGCGGUGAAAUGCGUUGAUAUCGGAAGGAACGCCCGUGGCGAAAGCGAGGUCCUGGACGCCUACUGACGCUGAGACGCGAAAGCCAGGGGAGCGAACGGG
rnacentral:rRNA from 1 species